rnacentral:rRNA from 1 species
UACAGAGGGUGCAAGCGUUAAUCGGAAUUACUGGGCGUAAAGCGUGCGUAGACGGUUGCGUAAGUCAGAUGUGAAAGCCCCGGGCUCAACCUGGGAAUUGCAUUUGAGACUGCGUAGCUAGGGUGCGGAAGAGGGAAGCGGAAUUUCCGGCGUAGCGGUGAAAUGCGUAGAUAUCGGAAGGAACACCAGUGGCGAAAGCGGCUUCCUGGUCCAGCACCGACGUCAGGCACGAAAGCGUGGGGAGCAAACAGG